GUUGUAUGGUUAAGUGACUAAGNGUACACGGUGGAUGCCUUGGCAGUUGGAGGCGAUGAAGGACGUACUAACUUGCGAUAAGCCUAGUUGAGCCAGUAAGAGGCGCUUGAGACUAGGAUUUCCGAAUGGGGAAACCCACCUGCUUGCAGGUAUCAUAUGGUGAAUACAUAGCCAUAUGAGGCGAACGCGGAGAACUGAAACAUCUAAGUACCCGUAGGAAAAGAAAUCAACCGAGAUUCCGAAAGUAGCGGCGAGCGAAAUCGGACCAGCCCUUAAGCUUUAGUGUAGUUAGUGGAACAUUCUGGAAAGUAUGACGAAACAGGGUGAUAGUCCCGUACACAAAAACUUAUCUAAAGUGAAAUCGAGUAGGUCGGAGCACGUGAAACUUUGACUGAAUAUGGGGGGACCAUCCUCCAAGGCUAAAUACUCCCAACUGACCGAUAGUGAACCAGUACCGUGAGGGAAAGGCGAAAAGAACCCCUGUGAGGGGAGUGAAAUAGAACCUGAAACCGUGUACGUACAAGCAGUAGGAGCACCUUCGUGGUGUGACUGCGUACCUUUUGUAUAAUGGGUCAGCGACUUAUAUUUUGUAGCGAGGUUAACCGAAUAGGGUAGCCGUAGCGAAAGCGAGUCUUAACUGGGCGCUUAGUUGCAAGGUAUAGACCCGAAACCCGGUGAUCUAGCCAUGGGCAGGUUGAAGGUUGAGUAACAUCAACUGGAGGACCGAACCCACUAACGUUGAAAAGUUAGGGGAUGACCUGUGGCUAGGAGUGAAAGGCUAAUCAAACCGGGAGAUAGCUGGUUCUCCCCGAAAUCUAUUUAGGUAGAGCCUCGGACGAAUACUUACGGGGGUAGAGCACUGUUAAGGCUAGGGGGUCAUCCCGACUUACCAACCCUUUGCAAACUCCGAAUACCGUAAAGUAAUAUCCGGGAGACACACGGCGGGUGCUAACGUCCGUCGUGAAGAGGGAAACAACCCAGACCGCCAGCUAAGGUCCCAAAGUGUAUGUUAAGUGGGAAACGAUGUGGGAAGGCUAAAACAGCUAGGAGGUUGGCUUAGAAGCAGCCACCCUUUAAAGAAAGCGUAAUAGCUCACUAGUCGAGUCGGCCUGCGCGGAAGAUGUAACGGGGCUAAACAUACCACCGAAGCUGCGGCUGCGAAU
rnacentral:rRNA from 1 species